GGCUUAACACAUGCAAGUCGAGGGGUAGAAGUCUUCGGGCCUUGAGACCGGCGCACGGGUGCGUAACGCGUAUGCAAUCUGCCUUUCACAGAGGGAUAGCCCAGAGAAAUUUGGAUUAAUACCUCAUAGUAUUAUAGGAUGGCAUCAUUUUAUAAUUAAAGUCMCAACGGUGAAAGAUGAGCAUGCGUCCCAUUAGCUAGUUGGUAAGGUAACGGCUUACCUAGGCAACGAUGGGUAGGGGUCCUGAGAGGGAGAUCCCCCACACUGGCACUGAGACACGGGCCCGACUCCUACGGGAGGCAGCAGUAAGGAAUAUUGGUCAAUGGACGCAAGUCUGAACCAGCCAUGCCGCGUGAAGGAUGAAGGUCCUCAGGAUUGUAAACUUCUUUUAUCUGGGACGAAAAAAGGCCAUUCUUGGUCGACUGACGGUACCAGAGGAAUAAGCACCGGCUAACUCCGUGCCAGCAGCCGCGGUAAUACGGAGGGUGCAAGCGUUAUCCGGAUUCACUGGGUUUAAAGGGUGCGUAGGCGGGUAGGUAAGUCAGUGGUGAAAUCUUCGAGCUCAACUCGGAAAUUGCCGUUGAUACUAUUUAUCUUGAAUAUCGUUGAGGUUUGCGGAAUAUGUCAUGUAGCGGUGAAAUGCUUAGAGAUGACAUAGAACACCUAUUGCGAAGGCAGCAGGCUAAACGAACAUUGACGCUGAGGCACGAAAGCGUGGGGAUCAAACAGGAUUAGAUACCCUGGUAGUCCACGCCCUAAACGAUGAUUACUCGACAUCAGCGAUAUGACUGUUGGUGUCUGAGCGAAAGCAUUAAGUAAUCCACCUGGGAAC
rnacentral:rRNA from 1 species